CAGCCCCUCGAGUGGUGGGGAUGAUUAUUUGGCCUAAAGCGUCCGUAGCCGGCCGUGUAAGUCCCCCGUUAAAUCCAGCGUCUCAAGCGUUGGACUGCGGGAGAUACUGCUCGGCUAGAGAGUGGGAGAGGUGUGCGGUAUUCUGGGGGUAGGGGCGAAAUCCUUUGAUCCCCGGAGGACCACCAGUGGCGAAGGCUGCUGACUAGAACACGUCUGACGGUCAGGGACGAAAGCUGGGGUAGCGAUCCGGAUUAGAUACCCGAGUAGUCC
rnacentral:rRNA from 1 species